AGCACUGCGAGGCAAUGCUGAUAUUCUCCAUGGUGGAGAGGGGUUCAGUCAUGCUGAAAAUAGAUCCCUCCUGAGAUGGAGAUCAGGCAGCUGCCUCACUGUCUACUACCUUUUCAGAUGUGGGUUUUCUUCUCCUAAGUUGUGAGUGACAAAGAAUGAGAGGAUGAUUUUUAGCAGGGUGGCAGAAUGAGAACAAAGUGAAAAAGUGGAAGAACCUACAGGCUGCUGUAUGUUGGUUAGUGGGAAACUCCCUCACAUGUGUGUUCAGUGUGGUUGAGGUCAUGAGCUGGAAACGCGCCAGCGUACUUGUAUGACAGGAGGUUUUGCAGCAUGGAAAGGAAUCUUUUACUGGUGAUCCUCAGCCUUUUCCCCUGAGAACUACUCUCCAGCCCUCUGCUCCUCUGACUAGAACAGAGUGCUGUGCCAGAAGAAGGGAGGGAAAACAUGGUUACAAACGUCUGACAUCUUAGGGGCUGUAGACAGCCAUCACUGUCCUGUGUUCAUCUGGACAAAGAAAUUCUCCAUAUUUUUUCUAAGUCAAAAUGCAUAUUAAAUACUUGUGCUAACAAAUUCCACUAUGGCAAAUGUACUGCCUGUUUCCACUUAUAAGCAGUGCGUUGGUACAAGCUUCAACUGUUCAAAGGUUUUUUUAGCCUUACUAACUUUAACCUUAUUGAGUCUGUCUCACUUGUUUCUUCUUUCCCAUCAACUUUUCAAAAACAAGGGCUUCCUGUGGAUUCUCUUUUUCCUUGUAGAAUGGAAUUUGGUUGAAAGGAAUUCAAGGAGUCAACUCAAACAAUGACACAAAACUCAACUUUGUCAAAUUUGUGAAUGACACUAAAUUAUAGGCAGAUGACAAAUGACAGAGCUUCAUUCCAGAUACAUUAAGAGACAUGAAGACUGGAUCAACACAAAUCUAAUGAAGAUCAGCGUGGACAAGUGGAAAGCUCACACCUGGGAGAAAAAUAGCCCGAGGUGCCAGUAUGAGCUGGGAACUGACCGGUUCAGCAGGAGCCCUGCUAAAAAGGAUGAGUUAUGAUGGCUGCCCAGAAGGAUAAUGAGUGCUCUCACUGCGAACAAGGCAAAGAUACUGGAUGAUGCUCUGAGCAUGUUCAGUUGACUGUCAGAAGCUAUAACUCCUUUUGUUUGGAAUCUUGACAUGACUGCAGGCUUCGCUAGAGGCAACAGAACUUGCAUAACCAAGGAUUAGAACCAAGUUCCUUCUGGAGGGUGGCUGCCUUCUGCACUGUGACAGGCUGACCAUGCAUAGUCCUAAAGCUCCAAAUUGGAUGAGAGCAUUGCAUUUUAUGAGAUACCCAUGACUCCAGCAUGGUUCUGUCCAAGGCAGCAGAUCCAAAUUCUCACUGUGAAUUUCAAACAACGUGGGAGUAUAAAACAAGAGACUGGAUUUCUGUAGGUUUUGGCCUAUGUACAGCUCAGAGGCACUGAAUGGGCAGAGAAGCUGACAUUUGGUUGCAGCCACACAAAGUGUUUUUUUGGCUUGUGAUUGCAUGGCCAGCCUGACAGAGAUGAUGUGUCUUCUAGGGACAGAUGUUUCUCUCUGAAUGUCUUGUCACAAAGUACUUGAGAAGGUUUGAGUUUAUGCCAAAGGAGAAGUGAACACUGAGCCCAAAGGAAGAGAGAAAGUUGCUUAACAUCUCAAACAGGACCAUGGCCUGAGAAAAUGUAUCCCAAAUCUGCCGCCUAGAAUCAGAGAAUCACAGAAUGGCCUGGGUUGAAAAGGACCUCAAGGAUCAUCUAAUUUCAACUCCCUUGCCAUUGGCAGGGUCACCAACCACUAGACCAGGCUGCCCAGAGCAUCUCAAGUUUAUUAAUUUUUUCAGCAACAAGAGCUGCAUUACAGUGCAUUUCGUGACUCAUAUCACAUGUCAAGCUCUGGGGCCCCAAUUCAGUGUUUGAUGUCAGCAUGGCCUGCUCUUACUCCACCUGGCUGAGAGAGAAUGUGGCUCUCAGCAGUGUUGCCAGCCCUGAAGAAAGCUUGGAGCAAGUGCUGCUGCCUUCCUCAUGAUGGGAAGGGAUUCAUGGAUUUGGGUUCUCAUUCUGAGCAGCAAGAAGUGAGCUUUCACAUUCACCGACUUUGUUUCUCAUUGUUGAUGUCAAGAGAAGUGAUGCCCUCACCUAUCCCAAGCUGAUUCCCAGCUGAACACCAACAGUAGCUGUGCAGCAGCCAUGCUCCUGGUGGCACAGCACAUCCCAGCAGAGCAGGGCAAGCGCCCAGGUGCGGCGUUCACACGCUGCCAUCCCACUGGCUUCAGAGGGGCCACUCCAGCCUGCUUCUGACUGUUAACAUUUCAGCUGAGAAAGGAGCUGUGCCGGACGGAGCAAGACUUUCUGGGAUAAGAAUAGCAUCUGCCAUCUUAGGACACGGCACAGUUGUCCAGCUCCUGCACGGCAACACGUUGCAGUGAGAUAUAGAAGGCAAGCUACCCGCUGAGGAAUGUCUUCGAGUGCUAUUCAUGGAGGCGUAUCAUCUACAGCAGCAGGCCUGGCCCCACGCAGGAGCCUUGCAAGGGGGUUAUUUUGAGCUUUGGACACUGAGGAUUGAAGGGAGACAAAUGACAGUGAUCCUCCUGGCACAGGCAACCUCCAGAGCUCUGUGCACAAGCCCCGCAGCCUGUCACCGCUUCUGGGGAUGACGCUUGUGAAGCUGAUGGGCGAUGCGGUGGGACCUGAGAGCCCAGGAGAUGGGAGCCAGGAGGGAGCUGAGAGUUCGCUGGGGACACAAGGGCAGGCCUCAGGCCCACCUGUCCCAGACUCAGGCACUCCUCUGCCUGCUUUGUUUUUGACCACGUGCCUGAGAGCAUCGGCAGGUAACUCUGUGCAGGUGAACACUGUGAUCAGAGGAGACACAGUUAGACUUACGACUUGAUAGCUGCUUCAUCUUCAGAGAGUUAGCUUCUCUUUCAUUUUGUGCUUUUGGUGCUCUCUCUUUUUUAUGUCUUAAUAAAUAAUACUUAAAAAAAAA